rnacentral:rRNA from 1 species
GAUCUGCUCAGGAUGAACGCUAGCGGCAGGCUUAACACAUGCAAGUCGAGGGGCAGCGGGGUGUAGCAAUACACUGCCGGCGACCGGCGCACGGGUGCGUAACGCGUAUGCAACCUACCCAUAACAGGGGCAUAACACUGAGAAAUUGGUACUAAUUCCCCAUAACAUUCGAAGAGGCAUCUCUUUGGGUUGAAAACUCCGGUGGUUAUGGAUGGGCAUGCGUUGUAUUAGCUAGUUGGUG